AUGCAAAAUAUAGAUAAAAAAACCAUUUGUCACGGAGUGUCACGGUAGAAAUUCUGAAAUCAACGCUGUAAGAUAUUGCCACACCACGAAACCACCAGGUUCUGGCCGGAUCGAAUCACAUUUUAUACGUAUGACGACACUAUGGAAAAAUUUUCAUUUAGAUUGUUUCGUAUUUCUCGUCAAUUGCAAGGAGAGAGAGUGACGCAAGAAAAUUGAAAGGUGUAAGUAGCUCUGACUAUACCUCGUCCGGCAAUCCAAAUCUCCUAUACAUUCACAAAAAAGAACCCGUGUGUCAAGGCUGCUUUCCGACUACGCCUUUCUUUGAACAACUUCCCCCGGAUAAUAAUAUCUUGUGAAAACAAAAUUUAUUCUAGUUCCCGACCAGUAGUAUUUUACGACUAUCGUUGUUGUAUUCGUUCAUUCAUGACGACAGAGAAAAUAACAUUUCUAAAAAUAUUAGCGAAAACUUGUGGAAAGUCGAACCAAUUUUUUUGUGGCAAGGCUACCACGUCUUGAGGGAUGGGUUAUUUCUCAAAAUGUCUCCUUGGUUCGCCUUGACUAAUCUAGCGUAUUUCCUAUGCUAAUUAUACGCUAAAACCAUUAUCAUUUGAGGAAGCGGGCAUUCCAAACUGAGGGUGAAACAAAUAACCCUUUAUUGGACCUUGAAUCGAACAUCUUUCUCUCCUUUCAAUCCAAGGCUAAAACGUGAUUCAUCAAUAUGUAACGGAAGAACUAUUUUCGAUGAUUCACGAGAACAUUUUUUUUUCCUCUUCAGAUUUUAAUUUACAAAGUCAGAAUGCAUUGGCUUUCACGUCAUCUUGAAUGUGUAUUCUCCAUACAGCCAACUUUCCGGUUGUGUUAUUUAUUCAUCACCGCUUAGGUGACUAAUACAGCAGCAGCAAGGACGCAAAAAGAUUAAAUUCUUGGCUAAUGUGCAACAUGACACAAGUUUCAGAAUCGGGGAAAAUAAUUGGGACACGUGAAGAUCGACGGAAAAGAAAGUAAACAAAAGAUGUAGAAAGCUUUCACGCCGUAAAAAUAGUAAGGUUUUCACGCGUGCGGAAUUAUUUGUUCUAGACAUACGAAAUUGAUUUCUUUUCAUUCGUG